rnacentral:lncRNA from 1 species
UUUAUCUUGAUUUUUAUAGAAAGAGAAAAUGAAGUAAGAGGAGUCUAAGUGAUAGCUCAUUCUACAAGUUACCUUAGAGUAUUUGUGAGUUAUUUUUAAAGAGAGUCUAUUGCAUUGGGGCAAAGGGUGCUGAUCUUGCAGAAAGAAGAACCAAAGCUGGUGACUUUCUUUUACAAGCAGAGCUGGAUUCAUUAUGUAGUUGGCUGAUUGGUGAAACUGAUUUAUUUUGAGUUCUUCAUCUAUUAGAAAUGACAUAAAUUAAAC